UUCAGGUUGUUGCCUCAGGAGUCAUAAGCAGCCCAAUAAGUCGCCGAGAGAGAAGGCCUACUGCUUUCUGAAUAUUAACAGUUGCUGGUUGGUCCAAUAGCUCUAUUGAUUGUGUAUUUUGGAUGCAUUUCUUAAUGGUUUGUAGGUAAUACAUUGUCUUUUGCAAGGAAAAAUUUCCAGUACCUCUACACAAGUUAUGCCUGCUGCUACUUUGGAAAGUGUUCUAGUUUUUAGAAGUAGCAACAACAAGAGAGAGAAAAGAG